UGAGGAAUAUUGGACAAUGGAGGCAACUCUGAUCCAGCCAUGCCGCGUGAAGGACUAAGGCCCUAUGGGCUGUAAACUUCUUUAGACGCAGAGCAAUAAGGGCCACGUGUGGUCCGAUGAGAGUAUGCGUAGAAUAAGCAUCGGCUAAUUCCGUGCCAGCAGCCGCGGUAAUACGGAAGUCCGGGCGUUAUCCGGAUUUAUUGGGUUUAAAGGGAGCGUAGGCCGGAGAUUAAGCGUGUUGUGAAAUGUAGACGCUCAACGUCUGCACUGCAGCGCGAACUGGUUUCCUUGAGUACGCACAAAGUGGGCGGAAUUCGUGGUGUAGCGGUGAAAUGCUUAGAUAUCACGAAGAACUCCGAUUGCGAAGGCAGCUCACUGGAGCGCAACUGACGCUGAAGCU
rnacentral:rRNA from 1 species